rnacentral:rRNA from 1 species
UCGGGAAUUUUGGGCAAUGGGCGAAAGCCUGACCCAGCAACGCCGCGUGAAGGAUGAAGUAUUUCGGUAUGUAAACUUCGUAAGAAUAGGAAGAAUAAAUGACGGUACUAUUUGUAAGGUCCGGCUAACUACGUGCCAGCAGCCGCGGUAAUACGUAGGGACCAAGCGUUGUUCGGAUUUACUGGGCGUAAAGAGCGCGCAGGCGGUCGUUCAAGUCGAGUGUGAAAGUCCCCGGCUCAACUGGGGAGGGUCACUCGAUACUGAUCGACUCGAAGGCAGGAGAGGGAAGUGGAAUUCCCGGUGUAGUGGUGAAAUGCGUAGAUAUCGGGAGGAACACCAGUGGCGAAGGCGACUUCCUGGCCUGUUCUUGACGCUGAGGCGCGAAAGCUAGGGGAGCAAACGGGAUUAGAUACCCUUGUAGUCCCUGAGCGGGCUGGCAAGGCGCAU